UAACUGUAACCUAACCUACAGAAUGCAUCUAACGUGUGUGGGAGCCUGGAGUGUCCCUUUAAUAAUAUAAACCCACCCAGUAUAACUAAUUGUAACCUAACCUACACAGUGUUUCUAACAUGUGUGGGAGCCUGGAGUGUCCCUUUAAUAAUAUAAACCCACCCAGUAUAACUAACUGUAACCUACCUACACAGUGCAUCUAACAUGUGUGGGAGCCUGGAGUGUCCCUCUAAUAAUAUAAACC